rnacentral:rRNA from 1 species
CCUACGGGCGGCAGCAGUGGGGAAUAUUGGACAAUGGGGGCAACCCUGAUCCAGCCAUGCCGCGUGUGUGAAGAAGGCCCUCGGGUUGUAAAGCACUUUCAGUGAGGAAGAACGCCUGGUGGUUAAUACCCAUCAGGAAAGACAUCACUCACAGAAGAAGCACCGGCUAACUCCGUGCCAGCAGCCGCGGUAAUACGGAGGGUGCGAGCGUUAAUCGGAAUUACUGGGCGUAAAGCGCGCGUAGGUGGCUUGAUAAUCCGGUUGUGAAAGCCCCGGGCUCAACCUGGGAACGGCAUCCGGAACUGUCAAGCUAGAGUGCAGGAGAGGAAGGUAGAAUUCCCGGUGUAGCGGUGAAAUGCGUAGAGAUCGGGAGGAAUACCAGUGGCGAAGGCGGCCUUCUGGACUGACACUGACACUGAGGUGCGAAAGCGUGGGUAGCAAACAGGAUUAGAUACCCUGGUAGUC